rnacentral:rRNA from 1 species
UACAGAGACUGCAAGCGUUAUUCGGAUUCACUGGGCGUAAAGGGUGCGCAGGCGGCCAUGUAUGUGAGGCGUGAAAGCCCGGGGCUCAACCCCGGAAUUGCACCUCAAACUACAUGGCUAGAGCAUUGGAGAGGGUAGCGGAAUUCACGGUGUAGCAGUGAAAUGCGUAGAUAUCGUGAGGAACACCAGAGGCGAAGGCGGCUACCUGGACAAUUGCUGACGCUCAGGCACGAAAGCGUGGGGAGCAAAAGGG